rnacentral:rRNA from 1 species
GGAGGGCGCGAGCGUUAUUCGGAAUCAUUGGGCGUAAAGCGCGUGUAGGCGGCUGGGCAAGUCGGAUGUGAAAGCCCGGGGCUCAACCCCGGAAUUGCAUUCGAAACUGCUCAGCUAGAGUCUCGGAGAGGAGGGCGGAAUUCCCGGUGUAGAGGUGAAAUUCGUAGAUAUCGGGAGGAACACCAGUGGCGAAGGCGGCCCUCUGGACGAUGACUGACGCUGAGACGCGAAAGCGUGGGGAGCAAACAGGGAUUAGAUACCCUGGUAGUCCACGCCGUAAACGUUGGGUGCUAGGUGUCGCGGGUAUUGACCCCCCUGCGGUGCCGUCGUUAACGCAUUUAGCACCCCGGCCUGGGGGAGUACCGGUCGCAAGACUA